rnacentral:rRNA from 1 species
CACGUAGGGUCCGAGCGUUGUCCGGAAUUACUGGGCGUAAAGAGCUCGUAGGUGGUUUGUCGCGUUGUUCGUGAAAACUCACAGCUUAACUGUGGGCGUGCGGGCGAUACGGGCAGACUAGAGUACUGCAGGGGAGACUGGAAUUCCUGGUGUAGCGGUGGAAUGCGCAGAUAUCAGGAGGAACACCGGUGGCGAAGGCGGGUCUCUGGGCAGUAACUGACGCUGAGGAGCGAAAGCGUGGGGAGCGAACGGG